rnacentral:rRNA from 1 species
CAUGUCUAAGUUUAAGCAAUCUAUACGGUGAAACUGCGAAUGGCUCAUUAAAUCAGUUAUCGUUUAUUUGAUAGGACCUUACUACUUGGAUAACCGUGGUAAUUCUAGAGCUAAUACAUGCUAAAAACCUCGACUUCGGAAGGGGUGUAUUUAUUAGAUAAAAAACCAAUGCCCUCCGGGGCUCCUUUGGUGAUUCAUGAUAACUCGACGAAUCGCAUGGCCUUGCGCCGGCGAUGGUUCAUUCAAAUUUCUGCCCUAUCAACUUUCGAUGGUAGGAUGGUGGCCUACCAUGGUUUCAACGGGUAACGGGGAAUUAGGGUUCUAUUCCGGAGAGGGAGCCUGAGAAACGGCUACCACAUCCAAGGAAGGCAGCAGGCGCGCAAAUUACCCAAUCCCGACACGGGGAGGUAGUGACAAUAAAUACUGAUGCGAAGCUCUUUAGGGUUUCGCAAUUGGAAUGAGUACAAUUUAAAUCCCUUAACGAGGAACAAUUGGAGGGCAAGUCUGGUGCCAGCAGCCGCGGUAAUUCCAGCUCCAAUAGCGUAUAUUAAAGUUGUUGCAGUUAAAAAGCUCGUAGUUGAACCUUGGGCCUGGCUGGCCGGUCCGCCUCACCGCGUGCACUGGUCCGGCCGGGCCUUUCCUUCCGGGGAGCCGCAUGCCCUUCACUGGGUGUGCCGGGGAACCGGGACUUUUACUUUGAAAAAAUUAGAGUGUUCAAAGCAGGCAUAUGCUCGGAUACAUUAGCAUGGAAUAAUGGAAUAGGACGUGUGGUUCUAUUUUGUUGGUUUCUAGGACCGCCGUAAUGAUUAAUAGGGACG